AACGAACGCUGGCGGCAGGCCUAACACAUGCAAGUCGAGCGAGGACUUCGGUUCUAGCGGCGGACGGGUGAGUAACGCGUGGGAAUGUGCCCUUCUCUACGGAAUAGCCCUGGGAAACUGGGAGUAAUACCGUAUACGCCCUUUUGGGGAAAGAUUUAUCGGAGAAGGAUCAGCCCGCGUUGGAUUAGGUAGUUGGUGGGGUAAUGGCCUACCAAGCCGACGAUCCAUAGCUGGUUUGAGAGGAUGAUCAGCCACACUGGGACUGAGACACGGCCCAGACUCCUACGGGAGGCAGCAGUGGGGAAUCUUAGACAAUGGGGGCAACCCUGAUCUAGCCAUGCCGCGUGAGUGAUGAAAGCCUUAGGGUUGUAAAGCUCUUUCAGCUGGGAAGAUAAUGACGGUACCAGCAGAAGAAGCCCCGGCUAACUCCGUG
rnacentral:rRNA from 1 species